UUGUUUGGUGAUGCGAUCGCCCUGACUUGUGUGUCUGGGUGGGAGAAUGAUACUGGGAUUUGGAAGUGUUCUUGGUGCUUUGGUGUGCAAGCGGGGCUCAGAGUUCCUAAAGUAUGUCAGGUGCAACUGUUAGAUUGCUUCCCUUUGAUUUUGUCACAGUUAUCGAGAGCCUAGCACUUUCAUAGCAAUGACUACAUUUCUGACUAUAUACUUAAUGUAUUUAAUUACAUUGAUUUUCUAAAUCAAUUUCCUAAGUAAAUCAAUUUAAUUAAAUAAAUUAAAUGUGUAUUUAGACAGACAGUCAUUGCUAUUAAAAGAGGUAUUGUAAUUUAGCAUCUUAUUCCAUUUUUAAUGGUCCUUGGCUUUGGAAUUUUUCCAAAAUGGGACUUUUAUAGUUAAAUUUAAAAACCUGACAGUUCUUUUUUUUUUUUUUUUUGGCUGGGGAUAAUCAUAUAAAAAUAUACAUAUAAGGCUAAAUAUCUUAAGAAAUCUUAUAUUUAUUAAUGUUGUGUAUGUCAGGUUUCAUACUUUAAACCAGAUAUUUGUUGAAAUGAUGCAAUAUGUUUAAUUUUGGAAAUAAACAUUCACAUAUGAAACUGCUUUGGUUUUGAAAGCUGCGUCAUGUUAAGUAAUAUAUUUCUCUUGAAAAAGAAAAUCGAGAGUAGCAAAAGUUCAAAAUCUAUUAGGGACUGAAAAGUGUUAAUUCUGUACUACCUAAAGGUGGAUAAAUAGCUCGUCUUCACUUUUAUAAUUUAUGCCUGUAAUUAUGUUUCUUCCAAAGUUUUAUAUGAAGUUUAUCAAAAUGUAAUUUUUUUCAGAAAAAUAUCAGUUUCAGUGUUAGGUAGCCAAGAGGACAGAUGAAUGAAAAAUAAACAACUGUAUACAUGAUGUAAAAAUAUGUGCAAAUAUGCAAGAUUCAUGCCAUUUUUCAUGAGAAGUCUAUCUUGUGUGUCUCUCGUACGGUCACUGAACUUUUGUGUAUCCUGAUGUUAUAAAUGAUGCAGCCUUGAUUUCUAGGAAAUAUUUAAUUAGCAGAUGGUUUAUACUCAUUGGUAUUUGGCCAUCAUCACUGUAUAUAAUGACAAUUUGGAGAUAGAAUUGUAGUGUUUAAUUUGAGAAAGAAUUUUAUUUGUGAAAAGUUCAAAACCAGAAUGAUAUGAUGUUCAAACAGCUUAAAUAGAGAGUCGGGGGAGGCAGAGUAAACACUUUGUUUUGCCACAUUCCCUAAAAUUUAUGCAUUGUUUGCUCUUUAAAUGGACAUUUUACAUUUGAAAGGACUUGUUUUUUCCUUUGAAGAGAGCAGGUUGAAUUUUAAGGCUUCACGUUUUUGUCCCCUCAUUUUCCUUCCCUGUCCCAACAACCCACUGGUCAUACAUUACUCCCCUCAUCUUUCUUCCUAUUCAUUCUUUUUCUAAAUUAAAAAAAAAAUAUUUCUGCUUUUUAAAAUGAGAGAUAGAGAUAUAUAUUCCACUACAGUUACAUAGAGUAACAUUUCUUUCUUUGGAUUGUUUUUGGAAGACUUAAAAAAAAAACAAAAAUAAUUCGCACAAAAAAGUUAUAUCAUAAAUCGUAAACUAUCACAGAAAUUUAUUUCGAAAAGAACUAAACAUUUCACCUUGAGACAUCCACGGGACAGCUAACAUAAGGAUUGCAAUCAAUUCAAAGGAAUAUACAUUUUAUUCAAUACCAGAAGGUGUUUGCAGAUCCAUUCUUAAUUUUGCAAAAACCCUUAUGACACAGGUAAUGGAGAAAUAUAUGGAGGGGAAGGGG